GAUGAACGCUGGCGGCGUGCCUAAUACAUGCAAGUCGAGCGAACGGACGAGAAGCUUGCUUUUCUGAUGUUAGCGGCGGACGGGUGAGUAACACGUGGAUAACCGACCUAUAAGACUGGGAUAACUUCGGGAAACCGGAGCUAAUACCGGAUAAUAUUUUGAACCGCAUGGUUCAAAAGUGAAAGACGGUCUUGCUGUCACUUAUAGAUGGAUCCGCGCUGCAUUAGCUAGUUGGUAAGGUAACGGCUUACCAAGGCAACGAUGCAUAGCCGACCUGAGAGGGUGAUCGGCCACACUGGAACUGAGACACGGUCCAGACUCCUACGGGAGGCAGCAGUAGGGAAUCUUCCGCAAUGGGCGAAAGCCUGACGGAGCAACGCCGCGUGAGUGAUGAAGGUCUUCGGAUCGUAAAACUCUGUUAUUAGGGAAGAACAUAUGUGUAAGUAACUGUGCACAUCUUGACGGUACCUAAUCAGAAAGCCACGGCUAACUACGUG
rnacentral:rRNA from 1 species